GAUAAAUUUUUUAUAUUUUUAAUAAUUUAUUAUAAAUUUAUUUUACAUGUAAAUUUUAGUAUGAAAUUUUAAUUAUUUUAAUAAUAAUUAAUUUAAAUUUACAGUAAUUAAAAUUAAAAAUUUAAGAAAUUAAGAUUUAGUAAUAUUUAAAUUAAUAACUAAUUUUGUGCCAGCAGUUGCGGUUAAACAAAAAUUAAAUUAAAUUAUUUCAGUAUAUAAUAAAUAAUGAAUAAUUAAAUUAAAUAUUAAAUUAUUAAGUGAAAUUUUAAUUUAAUUAAAAAUUAUUUUAAAAUUAUGAUUUAAUAAAUUUUAUUAUAAACUAGGAUUAGAUACCCUAUUAUUAAAAAUUUAAUUAAAAAUACUAAAAUAGUAAAUAAAAUAUUAUUGAAACUUAAAUAAUAUGGCGGUAUUUUAGUUCAUUUAGAGGAAUCUGUCUAAUAAUUGAUAAUCCACGAAUAAAUUUACUUAAUUUAUAAUUUUGUAUAUCAUUGUUAAAAAAAUAUUUUUUAAUAAAAAUAAUAUUUUAAAAUUUAAAAUAAAAUUUAAUUCAGAUCAAGAUGCAGAUUAUAAUUAAGUUUAAGAUGGAUUACAAUAAAUAUAUUUAAAUGGAAAGAAUUUUGUAAAAUUUAAUUGAAGGUGGAUUUAAAUGUAAUUUUAAUUAGUUUAUUAAAAUGAUUAAAAAUUGAAAUAUGUACAUAUUGCCCGUCACUUUCAUUUAAAAAUUGAAAUAAGUCGUAACAAAGUAGAGGUACUGGAAAGUGUUUCUAGAAUGAA
rnacentral:ncRNA from 1 species